rnacentral:piRNA from 5 species
GACAUUUGGUGUAUGUGCUUGGCUGA